AUACGUAGGGGGCGAGCGUUGUCCGGAAUGAUUGGGCGUAAAGGGCGCGUAGGCGGCUUUGCAAGUCAGUAGUGGAAGUCCAUUUUUCAAGGAUGGAAGUGCUACAGAAACUGCGGAGCUUGAGUGCAGGAGAGGUUAUCGGAAUUCCCGGUGUAGCGGUGAAAUGCGUAGAGAUCGGGAGGAACACCAGUGGCGAAGGCGCGUAGCUGCGCUACAACAUGCGUUGCGGCGCGAAAAUGUGGGCAGCAGACAGGAUUAGUUAACCUGGUAGUCCCCACUGUAAAGCAUGAAUUCUCGGUGUAGGAGGUAUCGCCCCUUUCUGUGCUUCAAUAAACACAAUAAGGAUUCAGCCUGGGAAGUACGGUCGUACGAUUACAGCUCAAAGUAAUUGAUGGGG
rnacentral:rRNA from 1 species